rnacentral:pre_miRNA from 1 species
AACGUACUCCCUCCGUCCCAAAAUUCUUGUCUUAGAUUCGUCUAGAUACGGAUGUAUCUAAUACUAAAACGUGACUUGAUACAUCCGUAUUUAGAUAAAUUUAAGACAAGAAUUUUGGGACGGAGGGAGUAUUUU